rnacentral:lncRNA from 1 species
CAACUCUGCAACUUGUGUAGUGCAAAAAUAGCCAAUGGGCUGCUAGGGCUGCCAUAACAAAGAACCACAGAUUAGGUGCCUUAAGCAACAGAAAUUUAUUUCCUCACAGUUCUGGACGCUGGAAGUCCGACAACAAGAUAUUGGAAAGACAACAUCUGAAAAUUCUGCCUGAUAGAUAGAGAGAAGCAUCCUGGCAAGAGACACGGAGCUGACAGACGAAGAGAUGCACGUCUGACAGAAUUGGGACUAUUCACCCAAAGUGAGACAAAGUGAAAUGCCAAGCACAUUGAGAAUCUCUUCCUUCUUACUGUCAACGGAUUCACCUAAUCAAAGCACUUUUAGUCACUGCAUCCAAUUUCCAUCCUCAUCCAACACAUGGUGGGGUCUUUUUCUCGUUUCUUCUGAGUUGACACACACAAAACCCAAGAGUCCCACUUUUGGCGAGGAACGUGUUGCUGUCAGCUUGCAUUUGUUACCGCACAUUGGUUCCCCGUGUCCCAGUAAUGACCCCCUGUAAAGGCCACUGGGCAAGAGAAUUGCAAGAUCGAGCGAGGCGGCGGGAAUUACAGGAAAGGAUUAACGGCAGAACAGCCUGUUGCGACAGCGAAAAACAGCCCGAGGACAGGGGCGUGCUCCCAUCUGACAGGCGGAAGUGUGCCAGGGUUUAUGUAUUAGGUCACAGCAAGAAAGCUAUUUUUGCUGUGCCCUCUGACCUUCUGUAGAAGAACAAGAAAAGAUGAUGUAGAUACUGCUGGUUUGGACUGGCUCAGAGAGAAAAGAAACAAAUAGAUGGGAGUACGUGCCAAGGGUCACUGAUGCUUCCAGAGGGCAGUGGCCUCGGCUGUCUUACUCAAGGCUGAAUUCUUAGCCCCUACAAGACUCAUGCCUGGCAUGUAACAAGUGCACAGCCAGUUUUCCUCCAAUGAAUGAGGGGCUUUCUCAGAAUAAAGUUUUUGUAAUCAGAGACCAAGACAGCCACUGAUUCUCUGCAGCCUUGAAGUCUGUCUUUUCUGAAUAUCCAGACAGAGGACAAGUCUUGAUUAUAACGAUCAUUAGCCUAGAGUACUGCCCAGUUCUGAACUCAAGGAUAAGAAUCCCCUCCAAGCUCCUGCCAGGCUGUCUCCACACUCUGACAUCACAUCCUGCCUCUUUGAUUAGGUUUCACAGUGAAUUUUGCCCCUCCCAAACACACUUUGUUAAUCUUUUUUAGGUCUGGGAAUUCAGCCAAAAAUUCCUGAAGGAUGAAUUCCUUUUCCUCGGUGAGGUUGACAUUUGAGCACACAUCGCCCUCUUGUGUCUACGACACAUUUGGCAACGUAGUUUCCAGCACCUGCUAAUGCACACAGCAAAUUGAAGCCUUGUUAACAUCCCUUAAGCCUGCAGACCUCGGUACAAGGCGGAGGGAGAACAAACGCACCAAUUUUCCCAGAAUAGUCAAGAACAUCCAGAAGAAUCCAGAAUUUGUGAAGAUGGUACUGGUGGACCUUACCUUCCGAAAACUGCUAUCAGGGCCUCUGCAGGAGGCCCUGGCUGUGAUAAAUGUGCAUCUGUAGAGUGCACAACCUGAACAUCCUUACCAAGCAGCCCUGACCAAUAUCUUCCUGCCUAAAGAGUGCCAAUGCUGAGAGUAUGCCUUUAAAACCCCAUUUUGGCCAUUUCUCAAGAAGUAAGUGAGACUUGUACUUCCCUAUCUCCCCUUAAGGGGAGUCCCCAGUGCAUUAGUGGUAGAGCUCUCCCUAAGGACUUUUGUGUGCGUCUCCACCCUCUGUUCUUCUAGGUGCAUCCUGUUUUUAAUGGGGCAUAAUCUCUUACCUCAAAAGAGCAAAGCUCCACUGGCAAACCUCUAGACCACAUUAGUGAUCAGCAAGUAAGGGGGACAUUUGGUGCAGCAUCACAUUUCUGACAUCCCUUCAUGCUUUUUAUGUCUGACUCUGUCAUCUCUGCUAAAAGAAGCCUCUCUUUUUAUUUCCUUUUUUUCUUCUAGUUUUUUUUUUUGUUUUUUUUUUUUUUUUGUAGACAGGGCCUAGUGGUCUUCCUAGGCUGGUCUCAAACUUCUGGACUCAAGGGAUAUUCCCACCUCAGCCUCCCAAACUGUUGGGAUUACAGGCGUGAGCCAU